CUGGCUUGCAGCUGGAGGCAGCUCUCUGCUCAGGCCACCGUGGAGAAUGACACAGGCAGGCGACAUUAUCACUGAGCAGUAACUUCUAUCACAUCCAGGCAGACUGUGAUACCCAUUUCGAAAUCGGGGCAAGACGUGAAAGAAGCAAAGGGGUAGCUGCAAAGUUUUGGACAAGACCUCUACAGGCAACUGGAAGCAUAGUGUACCCAGGUGGUGGUCUCGUCUGUGACAAUAUAUUUUUAUGGCUGUAAAGGGAAUAAAAACCCCAUGUAAUCUCCAGCGGUGACAAUUUAAUCAGUUGUAUAAAAGGAAGAAACAGUCUCCUCAUUUUCAUAUUUGCAUAUUUGAUUUUUGCAUUGGGGAAUAGAGGUUAUGUUUUUCUAUUCUCAUUCAAUUUUAAGAGCAAAUUUUUACAUUGGUAGGAAAUAUUCAAUCAAACUGGUGUAAGAGAAUGAUUGCAUUUUGGAUCUAAAGUAAGCACUCAAUGCAACAUGCUUUGUGAAAUAUUUUUUUCCUGCACAGACUCUAUAUGCCAACCAUGACUUGCCUGCUCCCAGCUUCUGCAUGCGAUGCAUCUGCUAUGAGCAUUCACAGAUCCAUCCUGAAAAUGAAGGCAACUGUUUGGAGAACAAUGCAAAAUAAUGAGGAUUAUACAUAACAUGCCCCUUGAUUUUGUUAAUAUUUUUAAAAGGAAAAUUUUAAUAACUGCAUCUAUUUCUAAGCAAGUAGGGUUUCUAAAAUGCCUUAUAUUCACAGGGGUCAGUUUUUAUGAGGUUAUAAAAGAGCAGUAAGUUAAUAAAAUUCCAUUCAUUUUACAAUUGAGAGAAUGAUAUUAUUGCCCAUAAUGUAGUAACAAAUUAUGGGAUAUAGUCUAAGAUAAAUAAGAUACAAAUAAUUUGUAGUUAUCAUCAAUUACCUUUGUGUGACUCUCAUGAAUAUUUAAAAAAUCUAUUCAAAAUGGUGUUGGGUUUGAAUUACUGGAAAAUGGGUAACUAUUUUUUUAAUGCAUCAAUGCAUGUUAGCCUCUAUUUGUGAAAGCCACUAAAAUGUUGUGUAAUUUAAGGGAAAAAAAGGAUAAUAUUCUACUUCUUUGAUGAUAUAGAAUUUUUUUAUAAAAAGGGAACUCUGAAGCCAACAUUUUAUUGGACAAGGAAAAAUGAAUUAUUUUUGAUUCUAUAUAAUUUUACAAAAAGAGAAAAUAUAUUAAACAAAAGUUUUGAAAUGUUAUGUGUAUUAACAUUUAUGUAUAAAUUCACAUAUUCAUAUGUGUAUGUGUGAAUGUGUAUCUAUGUAUGAAAUGUGGCUAACUGUUGCUAAUCAAUUUCUAUGAGAAAUAACUAAACUUGGAAUUCUGAAAAGAUAAAGCCAUAGCAUUUUAUUAGGGUAGAGCAGAUUGUCUUUUUAAUUUACAUCCACGCCAAGUGCACCAGUAGCAGUACGCAGGCAUGUGUAAUCAUUAGGUGAGAAGUAUAAGGUGCUUUAAGGGUGAGUAUGGAUUCCCAUUAAAUUAAAGCACAGAAUGCAACAA